AAGGGAAGUGCGGUGAAACGCCGCCACUGGUCCGCAACUGUAAUCGGGGACGAAAUCUGCAGACAGCCACUGUCCUUCGGGACGGGAAGGCGCAGAGAGUAGAGCGAGCCGAAAGUCAGGAGACCU
rnacentral:ncRNA from 2 species